CUCUUGACAAACAUAAGAGGUCCAGCCUGCCCAGUGACAAAGUUCAACGGCCGCGGUACCCUAACCGUGCGAAGGUAGCAUAAUCACUUGUUCUUUAAAUGAGGACUCGUAUCAACGGCACUACGAGGGCUAUACUGUCUCCUUUUUCCAAUCAGUGAAACUGAUCUCCCCGUGAAGAAGCGGGGAUCAAAAUAU
rnacentral:rRNA from 1 species